AAUUAGACAGAAAGUCUCUCUACUCCCAGCAAGGGCUUGUAUUAGAUCAAAGUCUUCGUCUAUUUAGACGAAAGAAAUUACAUGACAUACUAGCUCAUCACUUAUAACGAAGAAAUGAUAAUUUAUUAAUAGAAAUGAAAGCUGCAAAAUCUCAAAUGAAAUUAUAUUUAAAAUUAAAAAGGACAUUUAAAAAUACUCAGAUAAUGUGCACACAUCUCUUAUUGCUCUUGAAUAGGUAGAUUUCAUUACAUUAGCUAAAACAAACUGCUUAAAAUUGUGGGAAAGUUGGGGGAGGAGAGAGUGUACAGCAUAUGGUUUCCACAAAUUCAACAGUAGAUGAUAAGGGAUUGUUAAUUGCAUUGGAGGAGUUUCAUUUGUAUGGAUAUAAAAGUAAUUGCUUCAUAUCCCUUAAUUGGUUGUUACAGGCCUGAAGGAAUUUAUUCUCGGCUGUACAGCUUAAGGGCACUCUUGUUUCUGGAGAUGAGGACAGGCAUUUUUCAAGGCAUUUAGGGACAGUUCCUGAGAAAGUCUGAAUUUGGAAGCUGGUGAUGUCAUAGUCCGAAGGAUCCUUUAGCACUUCUUUGAUGGCAAGAAUGUCACCGACAUUGUGCAUGACACGCUCUGCUGCAGCUCCCCAGGUCAAAGUACCUUUAGCUGGCAAAAGGGUUGAUUGUUACAGCGAUGACAUCAAUGACAUCAUGUAAGUGACACAAAAGAGCUUUGGGUGAUGUACAGGGAGCUCAGCCAUUUAACCUGAAUGGUGGGAAAGGUGGAGCCAUAGAAAGCAUCCAAGUGAGGUGUGAGACCCUCUGCCUUAUCUCUGGUAGGAAGGCAGUGUUUAGGCCCAAGAUGACUUAAAAGUGCUUCUGAAUGGCGAGUGGGGACCUCCAUCUGAGAGAAGGAGCUCUCAAGAGAGCAAA